UGAUACAAUAAAUAUAUAUAGGUCUUAGUUCUGAACUCACAUCUCCUUAUAAUGAGAAAAUCUGAAGUCAAAAAAGGUAAAGGGUAAGAUCACAGACCUACAUAAUCUAGAUUGUCGAAACAUGACAUUUUUUGUUAUCUCCAUGGAAACUAAAAGGCAAUAAACUUUUGAUUAUAUCAUAGAUUAGAUUUGAGUGAAAAAUUUCUGAAGUUCUGUGAUUAAUAGAUCUAGCCUCUUCUAGAUCUAUUUAACUAUUUAAAAUCCGCGAAAUGGGAUUGUAAUAUUUCUAAACUUUAAAGACUAAAGAUCAUUUUUUUUUUCUGAAAAUGAAGACCGAUUUCCAAGAUUUAGAAAUUAGAUCUAUAGAUUAUUAGAUAUAGAUCUAGAUAGAAUAGUUCUAGAUGAUAUUACUAUUACUAGAGUCUAGAUCUAGAUUAUAUAUUACAAGCUUAAUAGGAAAGCCUUGAUGCUGAAACCAAGAAGCACCAGCAUACCACAUGCUGGCUAAAUGAUCUUCAAUCUUGGCAUUGGCAAUGAGAUGUGAAAUAAAUAAACUAUGAAAUAAAAAAAAAGUACAAUCAUUAAAUUAAAUCAUCUAAUGUGAAUAAGCAUUUGGGUUUGUAGCAUGUGCAGGGGCGGACUGGCUAUACGGGCAUUGGGGCAAAUGCCCAGUGGGCCGGUAUCCAAAUGGGCUGGUAGGACUACAACUGCCAUGGUCUCCACAUUGAAACUGCUAACACAACCACAUGGACCAAAGAUUUUGACUGAGUGAGAGCCAAGAAAGUCGAUGUAGGCUCCAUAGCCUGCUCUUUCAGAAUCUAUCGAUGCCGACCCAUCAGUGAAUGCAAAAAUAGCACUGGGCUUGAAGAUUUGAAAAAAUUAAAAAACACCAUUCAUGAAAUGUACAAAUUAUAUUUGUUUCUAUACUGCAUUCUUGGAGCUGCUGUUUAUAAGAACUCAGUUAUGUCUUCAUUUCAAAGUGUACAUUUAUUUAAAGGCAUUGAAGGAGUUGUGAAUGGAAUGAUUAUGUUUUAUGUAUUAGGUAUGUUCUGGGCCGAGUGCAAACAGUGUGAAAGGUUACUUCUCUGAGAUGUGGAACUACAUGGACAUCACCAUGUUGGCGUUUUAUACUGCUGGCUACUCCACGAAGGUGUGAUCUUUACAAAAACCAAUAGAUACUUUGCUGACAACCAACUGAUUCACAUUGAAGGAUGUUGGCAAGUUCACCUUCAUCUAUUUCAGUCAUGAUUGCCUUUAUAUGUGGACAAAUAAGCCUAUACAGUAUUUCCAAGAAUGAGAACUUUGCAGGGUAGAGUCAUUUGACUUACAAGCCUCUUAGAGACCACUGGGACAUUGUUCUGGGCUGCCUUUGGUAUGGGGAACUCUCAGGCACCAGCUAUUAAAGAAGAAACAAAUAGCAGUCAAGUUAAUGGUGACUCAGAGAUAAGAGACAGUGUGCUGCUGAAAGUCAUUGAGGUGGUUGGCUACGUUUUGUAUGGAGUUUACAUUCUUGAUGCUGUCGUGGUCCUGAUCAACUUGUUCAUUGCUAUGAUGAAUUUGAAGACAUUUAGAAUGCCCAAAAGAUUAGUCAGCUAAGGAGCCUAAAAUGUUAGCCUGUUUACAAAUAUGAGAUCUUCCUUGACUACACAAGUACCUUACAGAAGAAGGCUACUCACUUGUGUUUGGAUAUGUCAGCUGUUUUGUCCCUGUGGCCCUUUUCAAGCAUGACAGAUACUAUUCUAAGCAGCUUUUUUCUCUGGAAAUUAUUCAACCACAGAAGCUGUGAGGGAUAUCUGAAAUCCAUUGCUUACUUGUCUAGAAAGACUUCCAUCGAUUGAGUGAUAAAAGAUUAAAUGUACACAACUUUUAGUAGUCACCACAUAACAAGAAGGAUAAGGUCAAAGGUUAAUUGGACAAACAAGUUAAUAAACUUUGUCUUUGAAUCUGAAAUUGUAGAACUUGUAGAGAAAAAAAAAACAACUAAGUGUUUUUUAUUUUAAUUUACCAGGCACCAAGUACCUACUAUUCAUUUACUUUGACUGUUGACUUUAAGUUAGAAAUUAAGGAAAGAUUUCUUUGAGCUAUAUUUGUCAAUGACCAUAGGCAUUAAGAGAGUUGACACCUCAUUUUACUUUUCAACAAGAUGAUGUCUUAAAGAAAUUAAGAGCUUUUGAUGGAAUUCUGUGGUUGAAUAACAAAAGGAAUAAUCACAGGAUUCCAUCAAAAUCAUUGCAAUUUGAACAUUGUUUGUAGUGUCAAUGUUAUUAAGUUUACAUAAAGUAUUUAAGUAUAGUUCUUGGUGUUGAUACAUUAUUCAUUUUCUAGUGACCAGGCAGUGUUUUAUACCAUGAAUGAAUAUCUGUUGUAAGAGAUUUAAGGUAUACAACUCCAUUAAUAAUAUCUUUGACAAUAAAAUAUUUUGAUCAAGUUUAUAUUUUUGGAACAGAAUAUGCUAAUGUGUUAAAUGCACAUUUUUCUUUUUUUUUUGGAAUAACAACUGAUAUUUAGUUUUAUCCCUUUGUAUCUUUCUACAGUAGAUGCACUGUCAUUCUAAAUAGAAAUUUUAAAAAAUUAUAAUUUCUAAUCAAAUUGUCUCCCUUUUAAAAUCAAAUAUCUAAAUGAAUCAUGCUACUUUGAUUCUACACAAUCUACAGGACUACCAAUGUACAUUAGUUUCGAACAAAAAGUUGCUAACUUUAAAUAAUUGAUUAACACAUUUUGAUAUUUAUGUAUACCUUGUAAUAAAAGUGGCAUUCAUUUUACAAUUUCAUUUUUUUUUUUUAUUGUAACUGGUCUGUGUUAAUUUCUUUUUUUUUUUCAAAUUACUUUGUAUUGCCAAUAUGGGGAAAUGGUAUUUCUGGUGUUUCUUUGCUCAGCAAAAACAAGUCAGGAUUUGAACUCAAGCCCCCUUGACAGUGGUUUAUGCCAGAUAUCCAGCAUUUCAUGUAGUUUGUAGGCCAAAUUUGAUACUCACAGUGCCCCAGUGCAGGUAGAAAGAGGAAACCUUGCCUCAUUAAUGUUUGCUGCUCCAGACUUGCUGCUCUCUAUCUCAACUGAUCUAGGAAGCACUACAGCUGGGUUUCAGUCCACUGCAUUGGCUAGAGAGGAUUUCAGUCUCUCAGGCUGCAACUUAAAUGAAGUCUGAUGUGAUUUUAUUCUUUAAAAGUUGUAUGGAUGUCUUUAAGCUACAUAACUUAUCCUAGUCCAAUGUUUUGAUUGACAUAGUUACCAGGUACUGGUACUAAAAAAAUUGCCGCUUUUAUCCUCCCCUUCCAGCAACCCUUAGAUCUAGUUUUUCUAAAUUUCUAGUAGUUUAAUAGUGCUUUUCCAUAUGUCAUUAAAAAGUUAUGUUAAAAGUUAA